GACGAACGCUGGCGGCGUGCUUAACACAUGCAAGUCGAACGAUGACGACCGAGCUUGCUCGGUCUGAUUAGUGGCGAACGGGUGAGUAACACGUGAGCAACCUGCCCUUCACUCUGGGAUAACCUCGGGAAAUCGGGGCUAAUACCGGAUAUGAGCUCCUGUCGCAUGGCGGGGGUUGGAAAGUUUUUCGGUGAAGGAUGGGCUCGCGGCCUAUCAGUUUGUUGGUGAGGUAGUGGCUCACCAAGGCGAUGACGGGUAGCCGGCCUGAGAGGGCGACCGGCCACACUGGGACUGAGACACGGCCCAGACUCCUACGGGAGGCAGCAGUGGGGAAUAUUGCACAAUGGGCGAAAGCCUGAUGCAGCGACGCCGCGUGAGGGAUGACGGCCUUCGGGUUGUAAACCUCUUUCAGCAGGGAAGAAGCGAAAGUGACGGUACCUGCAGAAGAAGCGCCGGCUAACUACGUG
rnacentral:rRNA from 1 species